ensembl:lncRNA
AAGCCACAAAAUUUCUACUUCAGUGAUUAAAGAUGCGCUGUGUAACUUUUCUGAUGUGGAUCUGCCACCUGCUUGUUUAAUGCCACACUGUGGAACAUUCAAAACAAAACCAUUUCCAGGGAGACAAUCAGGAGGCUGACUCUCCCCAGAGAAGUUACACAGUGCAGCUUUAAAGACAAAAAUGUGACAAAAUGUCUGAUGUUUUGUGUUUUUUGUGUUUAGGAAAAAGGAGUUUUCAGUGGCCUCCUCAAAAAGACUCCAAAGACAGAGGCAUCGGAGGGAGAUGAGAAGAAGGAUGUACGAGGCAGCAGUGAUGAUCUGACUGAACGCAGCUCAAACACAGAGAAGAAUAUUUUCACCAACAUCUUCAAGAGGCAAAAAACAGUGGACGACCCUGAGCCAGAGAAGGAACAAUCUGGGGAUGAACUUUCAGCGAGUAACGAAAAUCUGUCUGAGAAUAAACAGGACAAAGGGAUGUUCAGUGGACUUCUCAAAAAGACCCCAAAGACUCCAAAAGAAAGAUCAGCUUCACCAGAGCGAGACGACAAAGACGAGACGACGGCGAGCGGCGACGAGCUGACUGAAACCACCAGAGAGAAAAGUAAAUUCUCCAGCCUAUUUAAGAACCCCCGGAGACCAGCAGAGGGCGCUGCAGCGGAGCAGGAAAAAUCUGCAGAGGAACUUUCAGCGAGCAACGAAAAUCUGUCUGAAAAUAAACAGGAGAAAAGUGUAUUCACCAACAUUUUUAAGAAGCCCCAGAAACCAGCAGAGGGCGCCGCAGCAGAGCAGGUGAAACAUCAUUUGAACUGUCACAUUUUAGAAGAGUAAACGCACCGAGUUUGUAUUGAUCUAAUGAUUAUUGAUAAUAUAAUAUUUAAUGUCUAAACACAGAAUAUGA